UACGUAGGUGGCAAGCGUUGUCCGGAAUUAUUGGGCGUAAAGCGCGCGCAGGCGGCUAUCCAAGUCAGUGGUGAAAGCCCGGAGCUCAACUCCGGAACUGCCAUUGAAACUGUUUAGCUUGAGGAUGAGAGAGGUGAGUGGAAUUCCCAGUGUAGAGGUGAAAUUCGUAGAUAUUGGGAAGAACACCGGUGGCGAAGGCGGCUCACUGGCUCAUUACUGACGCUCAGGCGCGAUAGCGUGGGGAUCAAACGGG
rnacentral:rRNA from 1 species